rnacentral:tRNA from 1 species
GGUAGCAUGGCCGAGCGGUCUAAGGCGCUGGUUUAAGGCACCAGUCAUUUCGAAUGGCAUGGGUUCGAAUCCCACUGCUGCCA